rnacentral:lncRNA from 1 species
CUUCUCCAGCCGGGACCCCUGCCUCCUUCCAGGCUAUUCUCGGAACCGCAGCCAGAGGGAAUUUUUUUUUCCUUUCCUGAAACGUAGAGCAGAUCUGGUUACUCUUCUGCACAACGCCCUAAAAUCUAGGGCCCUUCCCAUCCCUCAGAAUUUACAUCUAAUUCUCAGCUCCCCUCCGGCUUGCUGUAGCCAUCCUGGCUUUUGUUUAGCACAGCACUUACUGUUAGUGACAUUAUAUUGUAUAUUAUUAACAUAUUUGUGUUUUACAUCCCUCACUAGACCCCCAGGAAAGAGGCUUUGAUGUGUUGCCUGCUGCAAGGCUGGCUGCAUAAUUUGUGGAGCUCAGAGAAAAGUGCGGAGCUUCCUUGUUCAAAAAACAGAAAGAAAGUGCCUCUGAGGUCAUAAAAUAUAAAACUUUCUCUUUCCUCUCAGUUUCUCUCUUUUCAUAGUGUUUUUAUGUGUUAUUUAAUAUCAUUCCAAGAAAAAUUUAGAUUUAAAUUGUUAGCAUGAAGUUCACCAUCCAUCUUUACGUUGUGCAAUGCCAGUUUUAAAUACUAAUAUAAGUGCACUGAUCUCAUAUGUGGAAUCACAGAAAUUAUGCAAUUUGUACUUCAUAGCUUAUACAUGCAUAUAGAUUUUGUUUUUACCAGAACCACGCUGGUAAAAACAGAUGCUGCACAAAGUGAACUUGCCCGUUUUCAUCGCACUUUACGUGCACGAAUUCUACCUCUACUCUCGACCUGGGACUCACCGAUGCGUAAGGAAGGACUGAAAAGCAAAAGAACUAUGGACUGGCCUUUUGGCAUGAUCAGGUGUCUAAUAUAAAGAAGUGCAUGAAUAAGAAAAUAUAUGAUAUGAGUGAUGGUUAAUACUGACUGUCAACUUGAUUGGAUUGAAGGAUGCAAAGUAUUGAUCCUGGGUGUGUCUGUGAGGGUGUUGCCAAAGGAGAUUAACAUUUGAGUCAGUGGGCUGGGAAAGUUCGACCCACUGUUAAUCUAGAUGGACACCAUCUAAUCAGAUGCCAGUGCAGCUAGAAAUGUAAAGCAGACAGAAAAAUGCGAAAAGAGAGACUGGCCUAGCCUGCCAGCCUACAUCUUUCUCCCACGCUGGAUGCUUCCUGCCCUCGAACAUCAGACUCCAAGUUCUUCAGUUUGGGACUUGGACUGGCUCUCCUUGUUCCUCAGCUUGAAGACUGCCCAUUGUGGGACUUGUGAUCAUGAUAACAGAAGUUCAAGAGGAAAGGACAGUGAGA